GAUGAACGCUGGCGGCGUGCCUAAUACAUGCAAGUCGAGCGAACAGAUGAGGAGCUUGCUCCUCUGACGUUAGCGGCGGACGGGUGAGUAACACGUGGAUAACCUACCUAUAAGACUGGGAUAACGUCGGGAAACCGGAGCUAAUACCGGAUAAUAUAUUGAACCGCAUGGUUCAAUAGUGAAAGACGGUUUUGCUGUCACUUAUAGAUGGAUCCGCGCCGCAUUAGCUAGUUGGUAAGGUAACGGCUUACCCAGGGUACGAUGCAUAGCCGACCUGAGAGGGUGAUCGGCCAAAAUGGAACCGGGACACGGUCCAGGCUCCUAAGGGAGGCAGUAGGUGGGAAUCUUCCGCAAUGGGGGAAAGCCUGACGGAGGAACCCCGCGGGGGUGAUGAAGGUCUUCGGAUCGUAAAAAUCUGUUAUUAGGGAAGAACAAAUGGGUAAGGAACUAUGCACGGAUUGACGGUACCUAAUCAGAAAGCCACGGCUAACUACGUG
rnacentral:rRNA from 1 species